GCCUGGAUAGCUCAGUUGGCUAGAGUGUGGUGCUGAUAAUGCCAAGGUUGCAGGUUCAAGCCCUGUAUGGGACG